rnacentral:sRNA from 1 species
GCUGGGUGUGGUGGUGUACACUUGUAGUCCCAGAAACUUGGGAGGCUGAGGUAGGAGGAUCUGAAGUUUGGGGCCCUAAGCAACUUAGUAAGACCCUAAACAACUUAGUCAGAGCCAGUCUCAA